GACGAACGCUGGCGGCGUGCUUAACACAUGCAAGUCGAACGGAAAGGCCCUGCUUUUGUGGUGUGCUCGAUUGGCGAACGGGUGAGUAACACGUGAGUAACCUGCUCUUGACUUUGGUAUAACUUCAGGAAACUGGGGCUAAUACCGGAUAGGAGCUGCUGCUGCAGUGUGGGGGGUGGAAAGUUUCGGCGGUUGGGGAUGGACUCGCGGCUUAUCAGCUUGUUGGUGGGGUAGUGGCUUACCAAGGCUUUGACGGGUAGCCGGCCUGGGAGGGUGACCGGCCACAUUGGGACUGAGGUACGGACCAGACUCCUACGGGAGGCAGUAGUGGGGAAUAUUGCCCAGUGGGAGGAAGCCUGAUGCGGCGACGCCGCGUGCGGGAUGACGGCCUUCGGGUUGUAAACAGCUGUAGCUUGUGGCGAAGCGUGAGUGACGGUAAUGAGUAAAGAAGCACCGGCUAACUACGUG
rnacentral:rRNA from 1 species